AGUGAACGCUGGCGGUAGGCCUAACACAUGCAAGUCGAACGGCAGCACAGUAAGAGCUUGCUCUUACGGGUGGCGAGUGGCGGACGGGUGAGGAAUACAUCGGAAUCUAAUUUUUCGUGGGGGAUAACGUAGGGAAACUUACGCUAAUACCGCAUACGACCAACGGGUGAAAGCAGGGGAUCUUCGGACCUUGCGCGAAUGAAUUAGCCGAUGUGGGAUUAGCUAGUUGGCGGGGUAAAGGCCCACCAAGGCGACGAUCCGUAGCUGGUCUGAGAGGAUGAUCGGCCACACUGGAACUGGGACACGGUCCAGACUCCUACGGGAGGCAGCAGUGGGGAAUAUUCGAAAAUGGGGGAAAGCCUGAUCCAGAAAUACCGCGUGGGUGAGGAAGGCCUUCGGGUGGUAAAGCCCUUUUGUUGGGAAAGAAAAGCAGCAGGUUAAUACCCCGCUGUUCUGACGGUACCCAAAGAAUAAGCACCGGCUAACUUCGUG
rnacentral:rRNA from 1 species